AGUUCUCUUGGUACCUCUUAUAAAAAAAACAGGCUGAGAUUCUUUAGAUCAUACAGAUUUUCCAGUCUGGAGGUGAGAUAGCACUGGAACAACAAAUGGAAAUGAAGGAUACCUGCAACCUCCCUAAGCUACACUUUGGCAGCCCCCAUUGAAAUGACACAGGGCGCAGACCCUUCUUGUCACCAGCACUGCUGCCAGCACUUCUGGCCCUAUGCAGAGCAUGGAAGAGUUCCCACUGACAGCAAGGGGAUCUCUGAUGAUAUAUUCUCACCAGUGUGCAUAGUGUGCAUGGUUUUGUGGAGCACCUGAGGCUGUGUGCCAUGGAUGGUUUCUGCAGACUGAAUUUACUGAAUGUGCCUCACAUUCUACCCCAGCACCCAGUCUACAGUCCUCAGAAAGGCUGUCUGGAGAAGAACAGUGUGGAAAUACAAGUUAAUAAGAUAAAGAAAAAGCAUAAGGAAGACAGAAGAACGUAAAAGUUGUGACAGAGUCUCCAACUUGCAGAGGGCUUGUGCAUACUCCCUUGUAUGCUUUACUGGAAAAUAAAUAGCUUGGAGUUUGCA
rnacentral:lncRNA from 1 species